AACACAUUCAGUCGAGCGGUAUAUAGAAGCUUGCUUCUCUUGAGAGCGGCGGACGGGUGAGUAAUGCCUAGGAAUCUGCCUGGUAGUGGGGGAUAACGUUCGGAAACGGACGCUAAUACCGCAUACGUCCUACGGGAGAAAGCAGGGGACCUUCGGGCCUUGCGCUAUCAGAUGAGCCUAGGUCGGAUUAGCUAGUUGGUGAGGUAAUGGCUCACCAAGGCGACGAUCCGUAACUGGUCUGAGAGGAUGAUCAGUCACACUGGAACUGAGACACGGUCCAGACUCCUACGGGAGGCAGCAGUGGGGAAUAUUGGACAAUGGGCGAAAGCCUGAUCCAGCCAUGCCGCGUGUGUGAAGAAGGUCUUCGGAUUGUAAAGCACUUUAAGUUGGGAGGAAGGGUUGUAGAUUAAUACUCUGCAAUUUUGACGUUACCGACAGAAUAAGCACCGGCUAACUCUGUGCCAGCAGCCGCGGUAAUACAGAGGGUGCAAGCGUUAAUCGGAAUUACUGGGCGUAAAGCGCGCGUAGGUGGUUUGUUAAGUUGGAUGUGAAAUCCCCGGGCUCAACCUGGGAACUGCAUUCAAAACUGACUGACUAGAGUAUGGUAGAGGGUGGUGGAAUUUCCUGUGUAGCGGUGAAAUGCGUAGAUAUAGGAAGGAACACCAGUGGCGAAGGCGACCACCUGGACUAAUACUGACACUGAGGUGCGAAAGCGUGG
rnacentral:rRNA from 1 species